ACCAGCAGCAAGCACACUAUAAUGAAUGACUGCCAUGAGGGGUUACAGGAGCUUCUCUGGGCAGGGUCAAAUGUAGAUAACAGUUACCGUUUCAUGAGUUGCUGGGAGUUUUCAGUGAAGGGAAACAUCCAAAACAUGGCAUGCACAAUGGUUUCCUAGUACUGUCCCCACUGACCCCAUAACACUGCCCACUGAGCAGCAUAUGUGUCUGUCCCCGUGAAGGAGCCUGUCAUUAGCUCUUCACAGGACAGUGGUGGACAUCCUGAGGUCACGGGAUGAGGAAGGAUCUGACCAUUGGAGAGAACUCCUCCUCUUCACCACACAGGCUUCUGCCUUAGGAUUUACUUCCCACUGAUCGUAGCUGGAUAUAAAUCCUUAGGGACUGCCACAUACAACUUCUGUAUUGGUCUUCAGACUGGAAUUAUCACGGAGGAACUCUGUGCAGUGCAUCGUUAAAGA
rnacentral:lncRNA from 1 species